GUGUCAGCAGCCGCGGUAAUACGUAGGGGGCGAGCGUUGUUCGGAAUUAUUGGGCGUAAAGGGCGUGUAGGCGGUGCGGUAAGUCGGGCGUUAAAUCUCCAGGCUUAACUUGGAGGGGCCGUCCGGAACUGCCGUGCUAGGGUGCGGGAGAGGGCAGUGGAAUUCCCGGUGUAGCGGUGAAAUGCGUAGAUAUCGGGAGGAACAUCUGUGGCGAAGGCGGCUGCCUGGACCGCAACCGACGCUGAGGCGCGAAAGCUAGGGGAGCAAACAGGAUUAGAAACCCGUGUAGUCC
rnacentral:rRNA from 1 species